ACAAGCUGGCCUUCCUUUCUGGGUGUGAAGUGCAAGUACACUGGCUGACCAGUCUCCGCAACAAAGCAUGAGCAGACAGAACAAAGGAAAAGGCCCGGGCUUGCGCUGGAAUUCUGACACUGAUCAACUUACUAACUUGGGACAAGCUACAGAACUCACUGAGCCUUCUUGUUUCUUCACUGGAAAAAUGGAAGUGAAAACAGCUAACUGAUGAAGUGGUUCGAAAGACCUAAUGAAAUGUACCAAGCCAGUCAUGAGCCAGCCUAGACAUCAACAAGUGCUUUUCAGUACAGCUGUCAGAACUCACUGGGAUCAGGUAACCCACUCCACCCUGCUCUCCCAUAGUCCUAAGUAAUCACAGCCUUUGCUGACCCGCUGAACAGCAUCUCAAGUAUUUUAUGCCGUUUCAAACCCGUUUAUCCACGGGUGUCACACCCCCCAUCCCUAGUUGCAGUUAGCAACCAUGUGCAAACUGCAGAUCAGUGUGCACCUUUCCAGUCAACUUACUGUCUUAUAACUGUGUCCAUCCAGGAAGAGUUUGCUUCGGGAACUUUCAGACAAGCCAAAGCUGAAGCUUUUAUGAUGAAGUCGUUGACAGAGAUUUUUCCUUUCCCAUCAAGCAUCUGUUAAAACAACAAUCAACUAGUUUUAUUAAACUCCCUGCCACCCCGAA